UACGUAGGGGGCGAGCGUUGUCCGGAGUUACUGGGCGUAAAGGGCAUGCAGGCGGUCCGACACGUUUUGUGUGACAGCGGGUGGCUUAACUACCCGAGGAUACGAAAGACGGUUGGACUUGAGGACUCGAGAGGGACACGGAAUUCCGGGUGGAGUGGUGAAAUGCGUAGAGAUCCGGAGGAACACCGAAGGCGAAGGCAGUGUCCUGGCGAGUGACUGACGCUGAGGUGCGAAAGCCAGGGGAGCGAACGGGG
rnacentral:rRNA from 1 species